AGCUCCAAUAGCGUAUAUUAAAGUUGUUGCGGUUAAAAGCUCGUAGUUGGAUUUCUGCUGAGGACAAUCGGUCAGCCUUCUGGGCAUGCACUCGGUUGGCUUUGGCAUCUUUCUGGGUAACGCUACUGCACUUGACUGUGUGGUGCGGGGUCCAGGACUUUUACUUUGAGGAAAUUAGAGUGUUUCAAGCAGGCGCGUGCCUUGAAUACAUUAGCAUGGAAUAAUCAGACAGGACUUCGGUUCUAUUUUGUUGGUUUCUAGAGCUGAGGUAAUGAUUGAUAGGGAUAAUCGGGGGCGCUCGUAUUUAACUGUCAGAGGUGAAAUUCUUGGAUUUGUUAAAGACGGACGACUGCGAAAGCAUUUGCCAAGGAUGUUUUCA
rnacentral:rRNA from 1 species